GACGAACGCUGGCGGCGUGCUUAACACAUGCAAGUCGAACGGAAAGGCCCUGCUUUUGUGGGGUGCUCGAGUGGCGAACGGGUGAGUAACACGUGAGUAACCUGCCCUUGACUUUGGGAUAACUUCAGGAAACUGGGGCUAAUACCGGAUAGGAGCUCCUGCUGCAUGGUGGGGGUUGGAAAGUUUCGGCGGUUGGGGAUGGACUCGCGGCUUAUCAGCUUGUUGGUGGGGUAGUGGCUUACCAAGGCUUUGACGGGUAGCCGGCCUGAGAGGGUGACCGGCCACAUUGGGACUGAGAUACGGCCCAGACUCCUACGGGAGGCAGGAGUGGGGAAUGUUGCACAAUGGGCGGAAGCCUGAUGCAGCAACGCCGCGUGCGGGAUGACGGCCUUCGGGUGGUAAACCGCUUUCGCCUGUGACGAAGCGUGAGUGACGGUAAUGGGUAAAGAAGCACCGGCUAACUACGU
rnacentral:rRNA from 1 species